CCUUCGAGCGCAUGAUUGAAGGUAGAAAGCUCCGGCGGUGCGGGAUGAGCCCGCGGAAUAUCAGCUUGUUGGUGGGGUGAUGGCCUACCAAGGCGACGACGGGUAGCCGGGCUGAGAUGGCGACCGGCCGCACUGGGGCUUAGACACGGCCCAGACUCCUGCGGGAGGCCGCAGGGGGGAAUAUUGCCCAAUGGGCGACAGCCUGAUGCAGCGACGCCGGGUGAGGGAUGACGGCAUUCGGGUUGUAAACCUCUUUCAGCAGGGAAGAAGCGAAAGUGACGGUACCUGCAGAAGAAGCGCCGGCUAA
rnacentral:ncRNA from 1 species